UACGUAGGGUGCAAGCGUUGUCCGGAAUUAUUGGGCGUAAAGAGCUCGUAGGCGGUUCGUCGCGUCGGCUGUGAAAACCCGGAGCUCAACUCCGGGCCUGCAGUCGAUACGGGCGGACUGGAGUGUUGCAGGGGAGACUGGAAUUCCUGGUGUAGCGGUGAAAUGCGCAGAUAUCAGGAGGAACACCGGUGGCGAAGGCGGGUCUCUGGGCAGCUACUGACGCUGAGGAGCGAAAGCGUGGGGAGCGAACAGG
rnacentral:rRNA from 1 species